rnacentral:lncRNA from 1 species
UGGCUGGACCCAGAAGUACUGUCGAAUGAAAAGUGAGAUGUGGCUAAGCCCUACAUCACCUGGCUUUUGUGAGGACGUCAUGAGCUGGUGCUUGCAAACUGCCUGUCAAAGAGCCUGGCACAUAGUGGGUGCUUAAGAUGUAAGAGUAGUUAUAUUAUUGUUAUGUGGCAGCUGGGUGUAGGAGGGAACUGGUUAUGACCCAGAGGAGCUGGUGGCUGUGACUCCUGUCAUAGAGGAGAUGAAGGCAGGGUUCUGGGGCCUGUGUGCUCUGCACCAUAAUGUUGGGGGAAUUAAUACUUCUUUUUAGGAGUCUCCAUUCUACCCUUCACCAGGCAUGAUAGGAGCACUGGUGACUUGGCUGAUAUACUACAAGCCAUUCUUGUUUGGGUUCCUGUUCCUUCUUCUGUUGCUUAGCAACUGGCUGGUCAAGUAUGAAUCCAAAGCCACCCCCUCAGAACCCCCACAGGUGAAGGAAGAGAAGCCAAAGACACCAGAAGCUGGCUCCAACAACAACAAUGCCAAGAGCAUGAAAGAAGUAGAGAAAAUGUAUGCCUGCUUUGCUCUCCAGGACAAGAUCCUCGAACGGCUUUUGUUCAGUGAGAUGAAACUGAAAGUCCUGGAAAAUCAGAUGUUCAUCCUAUGGAAUAAAAUGAAUCGCUGCAGGCCGUCAAGCAAAUACCAGCGUUUCCCCAGGAAGAAAUACAUACUGGAGAGGCAAAACUCAAUCUUCUCCAUCGUUUCUGAUUGUACUUCCAAUUCCCAGGCCUAAUGAGACUGAGGCAAGCCAGCCUCUGCUGAUGUUAUCUCCACUCAAUGUGUUAGUCUGGUUUGUUGUUAUUAGCGUUGUUGCUGUAAUACAGUACAUGAGACUACAAACUUUAUAAAGAAAAAGGUUUCUUGAGCUCACAAUUCCAGAGGUCUAAGAGCAUAGCAUGGGCAAUGCUCUUCCCUGAGAGGGCCUCAGGGAAGAGCAAGCAUAUCACAGGGUGAGGGCAGCUACGUGUAUGUGUGUGUGUGUGUGUGUGUGUGUGUGUGAGAGAGAGAGAGAGAGAGAGAGAGAGAGAGAGAGAGAGAGAGGGAGGGAGGAUGCAGGGUAAGAGAGAAAAUAACAGAGAGAGCCAAAAAAGCCAAACUUGCUUCAUAACAAGCCCCUCAAGGUAACCAAUUCUAAGAAACCUCACUCACUCCCUGAAAUGAGCAUUACUUCCUCCCAAGGGUGGUUUUCCCAAUAACCUAAUGACCUCCCACUAGGUGCCACCUCUUAAAGGUUCCACCAUCUCUCGGUGCCAUUGCAAUGGUACCAAGCCUCCAGCACACAAUCUUUUGUAGGGAACAAACCAUAUCCAGCCAUAGUGCCCCCCUUCCCCUGUGAGUCUCAGUAGGAAGCUGUUGAAUGAUCCUAGUGAGCCACAUGGGAGGGGUGCCAAGGAGCCAGCAGGAUGAGAGGCUGAAAGGUCAUCUCUGGAGAACAAACCUGUCUAUCAGCAGGAAGCAGAUGGCAUAGCUGAUGAGGCUCUGAAGCA